UUUUAUGGAGAGUUUGAUCCUGGCUCAGGACGAACGCUGGCGGCGUGCCUAAUACAUGCAAGUCGAGCGAAUGGAUGGGAGCUUGCUCCCUGAAAUUAGCGGCGGACGGGUGAGUAACACGUGGGCAACCUGCCCUGUAGACUGGGAUAACUUCGGGAAACCGAAGCUAAUACCGAUAAUUUUGGAACCUCAUGGUUCUAAAGUAAAAGUUGGGUUUUACCUAACACUACAGGAUGGGCCCGCGUCGCAUUAGCUAGUUGGUAAGGUAACGGCUUACCAAGGCGACGAUGCGUAGCCGACCUGAGAGGGUGAUCGGCCACACUGGGACUGAGACACGGCCCAGACUCCUACGGGAGGCAGCAGUAGGGAAUCUUCCGCAAUGGACGAAAGUCUGACGGAGCAACGCCGCGUGAGCGAUGAAG
rnacentral:rRNA from 1 species